AAUGGUUUCGGAAACCCAUAUUAUGUCCAAACAUUGAAUCACCAUUUAGUUGUAGCUAGCAAUCUUCGAAUUUAUUGAAACUAAGACUACGUCAAAAAUGGUUUCUUCAAAGUCAACCAUUCUUUUUUAUUGUAGUCACCUUAAGCUACCAAUUAGCUUUGAAGGUUUCAUUAUUUCGAGUCAAAUGGUACUUUACCAUUUCCUUGAGUAUAUAUCGUAUAUGCACUCAAUGUAGUCAUAAGGAUUUUCAUUCUUAUUUCUUUCGAAUUAAGAGGUGUAACUCUAUGACAUAGUCAUAAAGUUCAAAACCAUUCAACUGAGACGGUUUAUAAAUCCUUAUCGACUACCUUG
rnacentral:lncRNA from 1 species